GACGAACGCUGGCGGCGUGCCUAACACAUGCAAGUCGAGCGAGUGAAUCUCCUUCGGGAGCGAAGCUAGCGGCGGACGGGUGAGUAACACGUGGGCAACCUGCCUCAUAGAGGGGAAUAGCCUUUCGAAAGGAAGAUUAAUACCGCAUAAGAUUGUAGCUUCGCAUGAAGUAGCAAUCAAAGGAGCAAUCCGCUAUGAGAUGGGCCCGCGGAGCGUUAGCUAGUUGGAGGGGUAACGGCCCACCAAGCCUAUGAUCGGUAGCCGACCUGAGAGGGUGAUCGGCCACAUUGGAACUGAGAUACGGUCCAAACUCCUACGGGAGGCAGCAGUGGGGAAUAUUGGGCAAUGGGGGAAACCCUGACCCAGCAACGCCGCGUGAAGGAAGAAGGUUUUCGGAUUGUAAACUUCUGUCCUUGGUGAAGAGAAGAAGACGGUAGCCAAGGAGGAAGCCCCGGCUAACUACGUGCCAGCCGCCGCGGUAA
rnacentral:rRNA from 1 species